AUGAAAGCCCUGCGCGGUGUAAUGAAUAAGAGUCAUGGACUGGGACUCAAGAGACUGCGGUUGAGGUUCCCAUUUUGCCAUGGAAAUUCUCUCUGUAUGGCAACUGAUAAAGAGGACUCAAUUCGCUGUCAUCUCUUUUCUCUGUUCCUUCUUGCAAUCACUGGUGGUACAAGCAAAGUGUCCAUUAUGUGAUCUGUAUAGAAUUAGGUAAGUAAACUACAUCCUUUGGAUGAAAUUCAGAAAUUUUUCUACUUUAUUGAUACAGUGUUUUUGAUUUGCUUUGUUGAAUGUAUGUACCAAACCUGUCAGGUGCUUCAGGCCCUAUAGAAGUGGUUUUGUUUUGUUUUGAUUACUCAGUCGUGUGAACAGGGUAACUGCA
rnacentral:lncRNA from 1 species